GACGUAGGGCGCGAGCGUUGUCCGGAUUUAUUGGGCGUAAAGAGCUCGUAGGCGGCUUGUCGCGUCGUCUGUGAAAUCCCGCGGCUCAACUGCGGGCUGGCAGUCGAUACGGGCAGGCUGGAGUUCGGUAGGGGAGACUGGAAUUCCUGGUGUAGCGGUGAAAUGCGCAGAUAUCAGGAGGAACACCGGUGGCGAAGGCGGGUCUCUGGGACGUGACUGACGCUGAGACGCGAAAGCGUGGGGAGCGAACAGG
rnacentral:rRNA from 1 species